rnacentral:lncRNA from 1 species
AGGUGCUGGUGAUUUUUCGGGUGGUGGAGGAGAUUUGUAGUAGUAUGGUGGAGGAGGAGAUGGUGAUGGUGGAGGUGGGGACUUAUAGUAGUAUGGCUCUGGUGCUGGUGAUUUUUUAGGUGGUGGGGGAGAUUGGUAGUAAUAUGGUGGUGGAGGAGAUGGUGAAGGUGGUGGUGGUGAUUUGUAAUAAUAAGGUGGUGGAGGUGAUGGUGAGGGAGGUGGUGGUGAUUUGUAGUAGUAUGGAGGAGGGGGAGAUGGAGAUGGAGGUGGUGGUGACUUGUAAUAGUAAGGUGGUGGUGGAGAAGGAGAGGGUGGUGGAGGAGACUUGUAUUCAUAGUGAGGCUUAGGAGAUGGUGGUGGUGGAGACUUGUAUUCAUAUGGUGGUGGUGGUGAUGGGGAAGGUGGUGGUGGUGACUUGUACUCAUAAUGAGGCUUAGGAGAUGGUGGUGGUGGUGACUUGUAUUCAUAAUGAGGUUUGGGAGAUGGAGGUGGUGGUGACUUGUCUUCAUAAGGUGGUGGUGGAGACGGAGAUGGUGGUGGGGGAGACUUGUAUUCAUAAGGGGGUGGUGGAGAUGGAGAUGGUGGGGGGGGGGACUUGUAUUCAUAAUGAGGCUUGGGAGAUGGAGGCGGUGGGGACUUGUAUUCAUAAGGCGGUGGUGGAGAUGGAGAUGGUGGGGGGGGGGACUUGUAUUCAUAAUGAGGCUUGGGAGAUGGAGGCGGUGGGGACUUGUAUUCAUAAGGCGGUGGUGGAGAUGGAGAUGGUGGGGGGGGGGACUUGUAUUCAUAAUGAGGCUUGGGAGAUGGAGGCGGUGGGGACUUGUAUUCAUAAGGUGGUGGUGGAGAUGGAGAAGGUGGUGGGGGAGACUUGUACUCAUAAUGAGGCUUGGGAGAUGGAGGCGGUGGGGACUUGUAUUCAUAAGGUGGUGGGGGAGAUGGAGAAGGUGGUGGGGGCGACUUGUACUCAUAAUGAGGUUUAGGAGAUGGAGGUGGUGGUGACUUAUAUUCAUAAGGUGGGGGUGGGGAUGGAGAAGGUGGGGGGGGAGACUUGUACUCAUAAUGAGGUUUAGGAGAUGGAGGUGGUGGUGACUUAUACUCAUAAGGUGGUGGAGGAGAAGGAGAUGGUGGUGGUGGUGACUUAUAUUCAUAAGGUGGUGGUGGGGAUGGAGAAGGUGGUGGGGGAGACUUGUACUCAUAAUGAGGUUUAGGAGAUGGAGGUGGUGGUGACUUAUACUCAUAAGGUGGGGGAGGAGAAGGAGAUGGUGGUGGUGGUGACUUAUAUUCAUAAGGUGGUGGUGGGGAUGGAGAUGGAGGUGGAGGAGACUUGUACUCGUAAUGAGGUUUAGGAGAUGGUGGUGGGGGUGACUUGUACUCAUAAGGAGGUGGUGGAGAAGGAGAAGGUGGAGGUGGUGACUUAUAUUCAUAAUGAG